rnacentral:SRP_RNA from 1 species
GCUGGGCGCGGUGGCUCACGCCUGUAAUCCCAGCACUUUGGGAGGCCGAGGCGGGUGGAUCACCUGAGGUCAGGAGUUUGAGACCAGCCUGCCCAACAUGGUGAAACCCCGCCUCUA